AUCAGAUGACUGGUCUCCUGAUUGUAGACACCCCUGAUCCUUUCAACUGAAAUCAACAAAAACAAAAUAAUGUUUUAUUUUGCAUGGAGACCCAGUGCUCUUCAGGUGUUGCCCAUCUUCCCCACUUAUCCUCUGGGUAUUUAUACCUGUGUUUUCUGUCUGUUGCCAGUUCAUGUUGUUUGUUCAAGCCUACCAGCGUUUUGUCUCAGCUCCUGCUUUCCCAGUAUCCCUUUUUUCUCAUCCUCCUGGAUUUUGACCUUUCCUGUCCUGACCCUGUACCCGCCUGCCUGACCACUCUGCCUGUCCCUGAGCCUGCCUGCCUGACCACUCUGCCUGUCCCUGAACCUGCCUGCCUGACCACUCUGCCUGUCCCUGAGCCUGCCUGCCGUCAUGUACCUUUGCUCCACCUCAGGAUUUCGGACCUCUGCCUGACCUAACCCUGACCCUGAGCCUGCCUGCCAUCCUGUAUGUUGGCCUCUACUCUGGAUUAUCAACCCCUGCAUGCCUUGACCUGCCGUUUGCCUGCCCCUGUUACCGUAAACAUUGUUACUUCACACAUUCUGCACUUGGGUCUUACCUUGGUUCCUGAUAACAGUAACACAGUUUUCUUAUUAUUGUGUAGCCAACUGUUGGUGUCAUUACUAUGUAGCUACAGUGUAUCAAGUAUUUUAUUUAGUACUCAUCGUUAGGGUUACUGGUGUCCAUAGUAACUAUGGUUAUUUUAAUGUUUACAGGGACAGUGCACAUUAAUCAACGUUUCAGUAAAAGUGACGGAUUUAGCCAACUGGCUAAUUUUCAACCGCAGUCCCUGGGCAGGCUAUUAAAAACAAUUACAAUAAUAAUACAAAACAAAAAAGGAACAGUGAGCAUAUGCAGAGCAAAAUAGAACAAGCAACACGUAGCACGCAGACAGCAAUUGCACAAAAAGCAACAAAACAAAAUACAUAAACGCAAUAGUGUUUCCACACCUCACAAGCUACAGACAAGCUACAUACACAGGUAGGGAUUAUGUUAACAAGUCUGAUUGGCCUUUAGCCAUGUCUAUGUUUUUUUGUGAAGGUGGGAUAGGUGGUGCAGUUAUGUGUGUCUGAUGGCAGUGUGCUCCAGACAUUGGAAUCUCUCACAGAGAAAGCAGAUUGUCUAAAUGUGCUUUUCCUUAAGGGAACAAUACAGUCACCGCUCAUGGCAGACCUUGUGGAUCUGCUGCCAUGGGUUUGGGGUCGGAUGCUUUUUUCCCAUUUUCGCCUAUAAUGACAUCCCCAUAUCUAACUGCCUGUAGCUCAGGACCUGAAUCAAGGAUAUGCAUAUUUGAAAACCAUUUGAAAGGAAACACUUUGAAAUGUGUGGAAAUGUGAAAUUAUUGUAGGAGAAUAUAAGUCAUUAGAUCUGGUAAAAGAUAAUACAAAUAAUAAAAUAUGUGUUUUCUAUUA